rnacentral:rRNA from 1 species
CCUACGGGUGGCUGCAGUGAGGAAUAUUGGUCAAUGGGCGAGAGCCUGAACCAGCCAUGCCGCGUGCAGGAAGACGGCCCUACGGGUUGUAAACUGCUUUUGUUUGGGAAGAAAAGGCGCUACGUGUAGUGCACUGACGGUACCAGAUGAAUAAGCAUCGGCUAACUCCGUGCCAGCAGCCGCGGUAAUACGGAGGAUGCGAGCGUUAUCCGGAUUUAUUGGGUUUAGGGGGAAGGUAGGCGGAGUGCUAAAAGCCCCCAGCUUAACUGGGGAACUGCCAUAGAUACUGGUUUUCUUGAGUACAGUUGAAGUAGGCGGAAUGUGUAAUGUAGCGGUGAAAUGCUUAGAUAUUACACAGAACACCGAUUGCGAAGGCAGCUUGCUAAGCUGUUACUGACGCUGAUGCACGAAAGCGUGGGGAGCGAACAGGAUUAGAUACCCCUGUAGUC